rnacentral:rRNA from 1 species
UACGAAGGGGGCUAGCGUUGUUCGGAAUUACUGGGCGUAAAGGGCGCGUAGGCGGCCUGUUUAGUCAGAAGUGAAAGCCCCGGGCUCAACCUGGGAAUAGCUUUUGAUACUGGCAGGCUUGAGUUCCGGAGAGGAUGGUGGAAUUCCCAGUGUAGAGGUGAAAUUCGUAGAUAUUGGGAAGAACACCGGUGGCGAAGGCGGCCAUCUGGACGGACACUGACGCUGAGGCGCGAAAGCGGGGGGAGCAAACAGG